rnacentral:rRNA from 1 species
GUGGGGAAUCUUCCGCAAUGGACGAAAGUCUGACGGAGCAACGCCGCGUGAGUGAAGAAGGUCUUCGGAUUGUAAAACUCUGUCGUUUGGGACGAACGUAUCUUGUGUGAACAAUGCAAGAUAAUGACGGUACCAAAGGAGGAAGCCACGGCUAACUACGUGCCAGCAGCCGCGGUAAUACGUAGGUGGCAAGCGUUGUCCGGAAUUAUUGGGCGUAAAGGGCGUGUAGGUGGAUCUUUAAGUCUUGUGUCUAAGAGCGGUGCUCAACGCCGUAUGGGCGCAGGAAACUGGAGAUCUUGAGUGCAGGAGAGGAAAGUGGAAUUCCCAGUGUAGCGGUGAAAUGCGUAGAUAUUGGGAGGAACACCAGUGGCGAAGGCGACUUUCUGGACUGUGUCUGACACUGAGGCGCGAAAGCCAGGGGAGCGAACGGGAUUAGAAACCCUAGUAGUCC